rnacentral:rRNA from 1 species
UACGUAGGGUGCGAGCGUUGUCCGGAAUUAUUGGGCGUAAAGGGCUCGUAGGCGGUCUGUUGCGUCGGGAGUGAAAACUCAGGGCUUAACCCUGAGCCUGCUUCCGAUACGGGCAGACUAGAGGUAUGCAGGGGAGAACGGAAUUCCUGGUGUAGCGGUGAAAUGCGCAGAUAUCAGGAGGAACACCGGUGGCGAAGGCGGUUCUCUGGGUAGUAACUGACGCUGAGGAACGAAAGCGUGGGUAGCGAAACAGG